rnacentral:rRNA from 1 species
GACGGAGGGUGCGAGCGUUGUUCGGAUUGACUGGGCGUAAAGGGCGUGUAGGCGGUCGGCCAAGUCUGAUGUGAAAGCCCGAGGCUCAGCCUCGGAAGUGCGUCGGAAACUAGUCGGCUGGAGCGCGAUAGAGGAGGGUGGAAUUCCUGGUGUAGCGGUGAAAUGCGUAGAUAUCAGGAGGAACACCGGCGGCGAAGGCGGCCCUCUGGAUCGUUGCUGACGCUGAGACGCGAAAGCGUGGGGAG